rnacentral:lncRNA from 1 species
AAGCAUGACGGAGGCAUUGAAGGGCAUGCAGUUGCUAAUUAGGGCUAUCAGAGAAGAGAAGAGAGUAAUCCAUAGUGGGUAUUUCAUCAUCACAGGCUGAGUAAAGAUCAGCAUGAUGAAGAUGUUCUAUCACUGCAAGCUCUGAGAAAUUAGCAUUGGAGAAAAUAGGUUCAGAAGACUGAAUUUGGGAUGCAAAGGAACUUAUUUCAGCCAUUAUAAUCAAAGAUU